rnacentral:snRNA from 1 species
AUACCUUUCUCGGCCUUUUGGCUAAGAUCAAGUGUAGUAUCUGUUCUUAUCAGUUUAAUAUCUGAUACCUGCAAUAGUUAUGCUGUGCAACCGAAU